AACGUACGCUGGCGGCACGCCUAACACAUGCAAGUCGAACGAAGUAGCAAUACUUAGUGGCAGACGGGUGAGUAACAUGUAGGUAUCUGCCCUUUGGCCUGGAAUAACACGAGGAAACUUGUGCUAAUACCGGAUAAGUCUUUACGGAGAAAGCUUUAUGCACCAUUGGAUGAGCCUGCACUUGAUUAGUUUGUUGGUGGGGUAAUGGCCUACCAAGACUGUGAUCAAUAGCUGAUUUGAGAGGAUGAUCAGCCACAUUGGGACUGAGACACGGCCCAAACUCCUACGGGAGGCAGCAGUGGGGAAUCUUGCACAAUGGAGGAAACUCUGAUGCAGCGAUGCCGCGUGAGUGAAGAAGGCCCUUGGGUUGUAAAGCUCUUUCGUCGGGGAAGAAAAUGACUGUACCCGAAUAAGAAGGUCCGGCUAACUUCGUGCCAGCAGCCGCGGUAAUACGAAGGGACCUAGCGUAGUUCGGAAUUACUGGGCUUAAAGAGUUCGUAGGUGGUUGAAAAAGUUAGUGGUGAAAUCCCAGAGCUUAACUCUGGAACUGCCAUUAAAACUUUUCAGCUAGAGUAUGAUAGAGGAAAGCAGAAUUUCUAGUGUAGAGGUGAAAUUCGUAGAUAUUAGAAAGAAUACCAAUUGCGAAGGCAGCUUUCUGGAUCAUUACUGACACUGAGGAACGAAAGCAUGGGUAGCGAAGAGGAUUAGAUACCCUCGUAGUCCAUGCCGUAAACGAUGUGUGUUAGACGUUGGAAAUUUAUUUUCAGUGUCGCAGGGAAACCGAUAAACACACCGCCUGGGGAGUACGACCGCAAGGUUAAAACUCAAAUGAAUUGACGGGGACCCGCACAAGUAGUGGAGCAUGUGGUUUAAUUCGAAGAUACGCGCAGAACCUUACCAACACUUGACAUGUUCGUCGCGACUCUAAGAGAUUAGAGUUUUCGGUUCGGCCGGACGAAACACAGGUGCUGCAUGGCUGUCGUCAGCUCGUGUCGUGAGAUGUUGGGUUAAGUCCCGCAACGAGCGCAACCCUCACUUUUAGUUGCCAUCAUUAAGUUGGGCACUCUGAAAGAACUGCCAGUGAUAAGCUGGAGGAAGGUGGGGAUGACGUCAAGUCCUCAUGGCCCUUACGUGUUGGGCUACACACGUGCUACAAUGGUAUCUACAACAGGAAGCAAGACUGCGAAGUUAAGCAAAUCCCUAAAAGAUACCUCAGUUCGGAUUGCACUCUGCAACUCGAGUGCAUGAAGCUGGAAUUACUAGUAAUCGUGGAUCAGCGUGCCACGGUGAAUGCGUUCCCGGGUC
rnacentral:rRNA from 1 species